AUUGAACGCUGGCGGCAGGCCUAACACAUGCAAGUCGAGCGAGCGGCGGACUGUUGAGUAAUGUUUGGGAAACUGACUGAUGGAGGUGGAUAACUACUGGAAACGGUAGCUAAUACCGCAUACCAUCAGAUGUGCCCAGAUGGGAUUAGCUAGUAGGUGGGGUAACGGCUCACCUAGGCGACGAUCACUAUCUGGUCUGAGAGGAUGACCAGCCACACUGGAACUGAGACACGGUCCAGACUCCUACGGGAGGCAGCAGUGGGGAAUAUUGCACAAUGGGCGCAAGCCUGAUGCAGCCAUGCCGCGUGUGUGAAGAAGGCCUUCGGGUUGUAAAGCACUUUCAGCGGGGAGGCGUUACCCGCAGAAGAAGCACCGGCUAACUCCGUGCCAGCAGCCGCGGUAAUUC
rnacentral:rRNA from 1 species